rnacentral:rRNA from 1 species
UACGAAGGGGGCUAGCGUUGCUCGGAAUUACUGGGCGUAAAGCGCACGUAGGCGGGUUCUUAAGUCGGUGGUGAAAUCCUGGAGCUCAACUCCAGAACUGCCUUCGAUACUGGGAAUCUUGAGUCCGGGAGAGGUGAGUGGAACUGCGAGUGUAGAGGUGAAAUUCGUAGAUAUUCGCAAGAACACCAGUGGCGAAGGCGGCUCACUGGCCCGGUACUGACGCUGAGGUGCGAAAGCGUGGGGAGCAAACAGG